UACUCCUACGGGAGGCAGCAGUGGGGAAUAUUGGACAAUGGGCGAAAGCCUGAUCCAGCCAUGCCGCGUGUGUGAAGAAGGCCUUUUGGUUGUAAAGCACUUUAAGCGAGGAGGAGGCUACUUAGAUUAAUACUCUAGGAUAGUGGACGUUACUCGCAGAAUAAGCACCGGCUAACUCUGUGCCAGCAGCCGCGGUAAUAC
rnacentral:rRNA from 1 species